rnacentral:rRNA from 1 species
AUUGAACGCUGGCGGCAGGCCUAACACAUGCAAGUCGAGCGAGCGGCGGACGGGUGAGUAAUGUAUGGGGAUCUGCCCGCUAGAGGGGGAUAACUACUGGAAACGGUGGCUAAUACCGCAUACUAUCGGAUGAACCAAUAUGGGAUUAGCUAGUAGGUGGGGUAAAGGCUCACCUAGGCAACGAUCCAUAGCUGGUCUGAGAGGAUGACCAGCCACACUGGAACUGAGACACGGUCCAGACUCCUACGGGAGGCAGCAGUGGGGAAUAUUGCACAAUGGGCGAAAGCCUGAUGCAGCCACGCCGCGUGUGUGAAGAAGGACUUCGGGUUGUAAAGCACUUUCAGCGAGGAGGCGUUACUCGAAGAAGAAGCACCGGCUAACUCCGUGCCAGCCGCCGCGGUAAUAC